GGCCGGCGUGUCUCUAUGAUGUCACAGCCCAUGGCAACAGCGGGCUGGCUGUCGGCGCUUUCAUCACCAAGGUGGGGGGAAAGCAGCGCUUCUGACUCCUUGUAGUGAUGUCAGGGAUGAAUCUGUCCUCUUCAAGCAGGGGUGGUCUCACAGACUUGCUUUUAUCGUUCUGUCACUUUGACUUGCACCCCAAACAAACUUCUAUUUUUAGAUCAUAAUUUUUGAACAAUGGUAACCGAUUUUUUUUUUUUUUUCAAGCAACAUGGAACCUUUAUUUUAAUGUGAUUACUGUACAUCUGCAGUAUUGGAGUAAUCCUUUUAUAAAUGGAACUAGAAGAAACAAUGACAAAACCAAACUGGCAUUUGAUGUGAAUCCACAGGAGUUUAAGCUUCAAAUCCAGCCAAGAAGUUUGUUACAAUCUCUUUCAGCUUUGCAUCUGACUCUUCUGAGAUCUUUCCAUCGGUCCUGAUUGUGCCCAACAGGGCUUGAUGUUGGCUGAUAACGUGAGACAAGAAAGCACUCUCAAAUUUUGUGAUCUUGCUGGGCUCCAGCUUGUCAAGAUACCCCCUGACACCCGCAUAGAUAACAGCCACUUGCUCUGCAAUAGCCAUAGGAGAAUACUGUCCUUGCUUCAGCAGCUCAGUCAAACGCACACCACGACUCAAGAGUUGUUGAGUGGCAGCAUCAAGAGCUGCCCCAGGAGGCACAGCCUAACCUUGCAGCUAGCACCAUGGUACUGAUGCUACACGGGAGAAACCCACGGCGAGCAUUAGCUCUGAUAACCCGCGUGCCUUGCUGUUACAGUGAAGCUGUGGACGCCUGGUAAGAAAGUGCAGUGGGAUUUUCCUUGGUCCUUUAUUGCCUCCUCAGUAAACAUGCAAAGCUGUUGCACAGAGAAUCAUCAGAGGUUUUCGUCUUGUGAUACUUUAAUUCAUGGGUUGUUGAGCUGAUUACCACUCCCAAAUGAUAAAACAUUGUAACUAUUAACAAUUUUAAAUGAAAGUGUUUUCGUAAAGCAGCUGCAUUUUAUAGGCCUGUGUGUAGACAGACUGUGGAACACACUGGCUGCUGCCUCUGUGUUGAACUUCCCUGCUGAGAGAGGACGUAAAACUUGGACGGUCUUCUUAGACGUCUUCUCCGAAUUCACUGCUCUGAACUCACAGCUAAGGGCUAUAAAGGCAACACUGUACAAAAUCAGAAAUAAAGAGAUCGUGCCCUAACUUUAA